ACAGCGUUCUUAUUCAUGUUUAGGAUGUACAAUUUUGUAAAAGCCUUUCUCUGGUCGACAUCGCUUCGAGACAGUCGCUAUAUGUGUUCAGUAAUAUAUGAUACUAUGAUUACGCAAGUAAAAUGACACCAAGUGGCAAGUGCGCUUGCGCAAACUCGUUUGAGCAAAUGUCGCUCGCAAUAGGCUUAUCUUUUGGCAUGGACGAUUCAAGAUUGCCGAUAUUUUGGCUUUGAACGCAUUUUACUUUAAAAAAAGGUCGGUUACCCCCAUUUUUUAUUUCAGAAAACAUUUUCUUAUAGUGCAAUGCA